rnacentral:lncRNA from 1 species
UUUUCGAUUUCUGAGUUUGACUGUCCCUCUGGUAUCUUUCGUCCCUUUUAUAGUGAACAAUCAAAAAAGCAUGGCUAUUGAGCAUGUGUAUAACAUAAAUAAGAUAAAAGUUUAUUUAAAUGACAGACCCAUGGGUACUGCGAUCAACGGAUUUUUAAGAGAGGGUCACGCUAAGGUCACUUACAUAUACGGAAAAUAUGUCGGCGAAUUGCUUCCUGGAAGCAAGCAAUCAACAAAAGUAAACUCGUUCUAAAUGUGGACAAAUCAAAUAAU